rnacentral:rRNA from 1 species
UAGAGCUAAUACAUGCGUAAAGUCCCGACUUUUUUUUAAUGGAAGGGAUGUAUUUAUUAGAACCAAAACCAAUGCGGUGGGGGUCAAACUCUGCCGGUCAUAUGGUGAGCCAUGAUAACUUUGUCGAAUCGCAUGGAUUCAUUCCGGCGAUAGGUCAUUCAAAUUUCUGCCCUAUCAGCUUUCGAUGGUGGUGUCUUGGACCACCAUGGCAUUAACGGGUAACGGAGAAUUAGGGUUCGAUUCCGGAGAGGGAGCCUGAGAAACGGCUACCACAUCUAAGGAAGGCAGCAGGCGCGCAAAUUACCCAAUCCUGAUACAGGGAGGUAGUGACAAGAAAUAACAAUCCCGGUCCUUUUUGGGUCUGGUAAUUGGAAUGUAUACAAUUUAAAUCCCUUAAUGAGGAUCCACUGGAGGGCAAGACUGGUGCCAGCAGCCGCGGUAACACCAGCUCCAAUAGCGUAUAUUAAAGUUGUUGCAGUUAAAAAGCUCGUAGUUGGAUAACUGGCUUAGGCCGCCUGGUCCGUUUGUUCUUCCUCACGGAGGGAUGAAUGUGUACUGGAUGUUCGGCUUUUGCCAUCCUUCUAGAUCUUUUCUCUUCACGGGGAAGAGGUCUGGAUCCUUUACUUUGAAAAAAUUAGAGUGUUCAAAGCAGGCAGUAAUGCUGUGAAUACGUUAGCAUGGAAUAAUGAAAUAGGACUUUGGUUCUAUUUUGUUGGUUUCUAGGACUGAAGUAAUGAUUGAUAGGGAUAGUUGGGGGUGCUUGUAUUGAACGGCCAGAGGCGAAAUUCUUGGAUUCGUUCAAGACAAACUACUGCGAAAGCAUUCACCAAGGAUGUCUUCUUUAAUCAAGAACGAAAGUUGAGGGAUCGAAGACGAUCAGAUACCGUCGUAGUCUCAACAGUAAACGAUGCCGACUAAGGAUCGGUGGGUGUUGUUUUCUAUGACCCCAUCGGCACUUUACGAGAAAUCAAAGUUUUUGGGUUCCGGGGGGAGUAUGGUCGCAAGGCUGAAACUUAAAGGAAUUGACGGAAGGGCACCACAGGAGUGGAGCCUGCGGCUUAAUUUGACCCAACGCGGGGAAACUUACCAGUUCCAGACUCAGUUAGGAUUGACAGAUUGCAGAUCUUUCUUGAUUCUGAGGGUGGUGGUGCAUGGCCGUUCUUAGUUGGUGGAGUGAUUUGUCUGGUUAAUUCCGUUAACGAACGAGACCUCAGCCUGCUAAAUAGUCGAGCGU